AAGUACUUGUUACCCAGUAGAGAAUUGGGUCCAAUUAUAUCUUUAUUUUUCCAUAGUUUCCUCAUUUAUCUCAUUUUCAUUUGUUAAUCAAUCUGUCAAUGACUUAUUUUACACACACAGUCCUUAUUUGUCAUAUCAACUAGAGCAAACUUAUGAUUGCUUAGAGGGAGUUAAGUCCCACCCUCUCUUUACGCAGAAGUCAGUGAGUUGCAGUGCGGGUAAAACAGCAGCGGUCGGAGUGGAUGAGAAAUAGAGAGUUAGAACAGCGAUUAUUAACAUAUCCAUGAGAUGAAAUACUCUUCUGAAGACGGCAGAGGUGUGCGAGGGUCCGUGAGCCAGGAGUAGUAGUACUUUUGGCAUUAUCGUCUCGGCUGGGUUUUUUUGAGAACUAGAGAACUGGAUCUGGAUUCUCCCUGUGGAUGGGAGAUGGCGAGCCCUCAGUGAGAUCUCUUCUUAACCUAAGGAGUGAGGAACCGAGACCUGAGAAGAGGACCUGGUAUCUUUUUUUGCUUCCACUCAAGUAUCAGUGUGGUAGGACCACCACACAUCCGACUACUUGAAUUUUUCCCCCUGACUUGACAUAAAACAUUGACUUGAGCGCGCUGACUGAUAUGGCAAAGACAUUAAAGGGACAUUACACUCAUGGACACUUUCAAUUCAAGUUCUGCUGAAAGACUGUGAAAUCUUGAGAUAUUGAUGAUAAUUGCACUGCAUUUUAUGUUCAUGUUUUAUAACUUGGUACAGUAAACUUACCUCAAACGUUCCUGGUGGCUCCAUUUACCUGUUUUGUCUGCCAUUCCCUUUUCAACCCUCCCAUUACGAAGCUAGCCCCUGGUCCAUAUAUUCUUUAUUCUUUACCCUGUAGCACCUAGUGGGUUACACAUACGCUCACAAUUUUUUUUAGGGUUAGGAUGGUAUUCUUGGAAUUUGGGCUCAGUCUUUGGAAAUCUGAAUAUGAUUAGGGUUAAGUUCAGGUGCAUCUUACUCCCUAUACUUCAGUUCAAUUUGGAAGUGAUCAAGUAUUCCUCCAUGGAAAAAUACAAUCGCCCCAGAAGGAGUCUUUGGGCAUAUUCCAAAGACUGAAUCCAAAUCCAGGAAUACGAUCCUAACCCGGGUUUUUCUUUUUACGAAGAUGGAAGGCGUCCUCAAUCACAGCUUCAGAGGUGGGCCUCAACACACAAGUCGAGCACUGCUUUCCCAAGGCCCAGUUCUUGCACGCUGACUCUGACCUCCAGAGCGGGAAACUCUCUGGCGGUACUUCAGCGACUCAACUCGGUCACCUCUGAAGCUGUGAAGGUCCACGGUUCCAUCUAAGGGAGCCUAGUCGACCUCAGCUCGAUGAAUUUAUUGAUUUGAAGGUCUAUUUAUAAACUUCCCUGUGUGGACUCAUGACAUCAUAUGUGAUGUCAUAGAAGGAGUUACCACUUUAGUACCAUGACAUCAUCAGUGAGCUGAAACAGGCUGAUUCACAUCCUGUCAUUACAUCACAGAUGAUGUCAUGAGUUCAGUCAGAUCUUGAGGACAUUUGAGCUGAUAUCAGAAAGGAUCUCUAUUAAUUAAUCAAUGGGUAAAAUGUUGUUGAAAAGUGGAGGUUGACUGGACGUCUACACGACAUAUAAUCAUUUGAAAUAUGAUGUUAGAAAGGCUGAAAGUGUAAUUGGAGUGUGGAAACAGGUAGUUCAGCAUUUAUUGAUCUAUACAACUUGUGAUAUUAGUUGGAUACAAACUGUGUCACCUGAUUCGCAGAUGUGCUGCAGCCACCUAUUGGCUGGUUUAAUUAAUGCACCUACAUUAGUGGGUAGGCUGAGCAGUUGGAGGGCGGCAGGCUUUAGAGAGUAAAUACAUGAGGUGUGUGUUUCUGACAUAAUGUAAGUAGUUUCUGGUUUGUUCUUCUUUGGAGUGUUUAAUUCGUAUCUGUGAAGGGAAUAUUGUCCAUAUUACCUAACCUACACUUGAAAUUACUGCGCUGUGUAAAUAUGUGAAUUAUCCUGCCACUUGCCUGACAUAAUUUCCUCCUUUUUCAUGUCUUUGUUAAUGUGCAUCGCUAUUUAAAGCAUAUGUAAGCCAGUAGAGAAUUGGGUCCAAUUAUAUCUUUAUUUUUCUAUAGUUUCCUUAUUUAUCUCAUUUUCAUUUGUUAAUCAAUCUGUCAAUGACUUAUUUUACACACACAGUCCUUAUUUGUCAUAUCAACUAGAGCAAACUUAUGAUUGCUUAGAGGGAGUUAAGUCCCACCCUCUCUUUACGCAGAAGUCAGUGAGUUGCAGUGCGGGUAAAACAGCAGCGGUCGGAGUGGAUGAGAAAUAGAGAGUUAGAACAGCGAUUAUUAACAUAUCCAUGAGAUAAAAUACUCUUCUGAAGACGUCAGAGGUGUGCGAGGGUCCGUGAGCCAGGAGUAGUAGUACUUUUGGCAUUAUCGUCUCGGCUGGGUUUUUUUGAGAAUUAGAGAACUGGAUCUGGAUUGUCCCUGUGGAUGGGAGAUGGCGAGCCCCCAGUGAGAUCUCUUCUUAACCUAAGGAGUGAGGAACCGAGACCUGAGAAGAGGACCUGGUAUCUUUUUUUGCUUCCACUCAAGUAUCAGUGUGGUAGGACCACCACACAUCCGACUACUUGAAUUUUUCCCCCUGACUUGACAUAAAACAUUGACUUGAGCGCGCUGACUGAUAUGGCAAAGACAUUAAAGGGACAUUACACUCAUGGACACUUUCAAUUCAAGUUCUGCUGAAAGACUGUGAAAUCUUGAGAUAUUGAUGAUAAUUGCACUGCAUUUUAUGUUCAUGUUUUAUAACUUGGUACAGUAAACUUACCUCAAACGUU